CCUACGGGGGGCAGCAGUGGGGAAUAUUGCGCAAUGGGCGAAAGCCUGACGCAGCGACGCCGCGUGGGUGAUGAAGGCCUUCGGGUUGUAAAGCCCUGUCGGGUGGAACGAACGAUCUGGCGGCGAAUAACCGCCGGGUGUGACGGUACCACCGAAGGAAGCCCCGGCUAACUACGUGCCAGCAGCCGCGGUAAGACGUAGGAGGCGAGCGUCGUUCGGAGUUACUGGGCGUAAAGCGCGCGCAGGCGGCAAAUCACUCGGCUUAACCGCGGUCCCGCCUCCGAUACUGUCUGGCUCGAGUCUAGGAGAGGAAAGCGGAAUUCCCAGUGUAGCGGUGAAAUGCGUAGAUAUUGGGAGGAACACCGGUGGCGAAGGCGGCUUUCCGGACUAGUACUGACGCUGAGGCGCGAAAGCUAGGGGAGCGAACGGGAUUAGAUACCCCGGUAGUC
rnacentral:rRNA from 1 species